GACCAUACAUUUAGGUAUAUAGAUGAGUGCCGUGCUCAAAGCACGUAAAAAGCCGGACAUCCCGUGUCUGCUUUUAGGUUAGUAGUAGAGAUCGGUUAAUUUGAAUCGAGGUUGUUUAUGACCGUCAUUGAAAGAAUAAUUGAUUACAGAAUAAUAUUACUUAUUGUGAAAAAAUGAUUUCGACCCAAGGGUUAAUAAAAAUAUGUGGGUAUGGAACAUUUGGUAUGGUCGGUGUUGUGUUAAUACUUCAUAAUGAGGUUCAGACACGUAUUCGCAAAUCCGUAUGCUACACUGAGGCUUUUAAAUAUCUUCAUGAGAAUGAAAAAGCUGUUGAUUAUUUUGGGCAACCUAUAAAAGCUGGCUAUGCCAAUAACUAUACCGAAUCUGAUUAUCAACCAGACACAGUCCUUUGGUAUAAAGUUCCGCUAAAAGGUCCAAAAGGCAAUGGAACAUUGCUUUACAAAGCUAUUAAGGACGAGAAAUGGUCGUUGUCUAAGGUGGAAGUUGAGUUAGAAAAACUUCCAGGGAAAAGAUUUCUAAUAAUAGACAAUAUUGAAAAGAGCCUAGAGUCUAGUGAAUAAUGUGUCAUUUAUACAGUAAGUUAUUUAGAGGAGAAGUUUUGAAAUAAAACAAUAAAACUUUAUUUUGGAAGAUUGGUUUUCCCUGGAAAUUUUGCGUGGGUCUUUGUUUUGUGCAACAUUUCUCUUGCUGUUGUUUAUACGUAUUUGUCACGUAAAUAAAUCGUGAUGACUUUGUUGAGGAAUAGUUUUCAUUUUUCCUAAUUUUUGAAUCCUUACUUUCUCAAUAUCAUAUUGUGGAAUCACAAAAGUUGAUGCUUAUGUUUAUAUAUUUCAGUUAGAUACAGAUAAAUCUUCAUCAAACAACUUUUUCAGAAUUAUUGGUUGUAAAAGUUCUCCGUGUCAAAGUUUUCUAGUCAUAUGUACUUAAUUCGAUAGUUGUUAGCUCAUGCCAGAAUCAAAUGAAGUAUUAUAUAUAUUUAUGUAUAUAUUUACAUAACAGCAGUUAUUCAUAUAAUCAAUUUUAAAUAAACCAAUGACAAAUUUGCAAAGAUUUAUCAUUCUGGAGGAAAAUUUUUAUUAAUCGCCAUCUUGUCUUGAACGAUUUCUUUUAAUUAUCAUUAUCAUGUAGAUUAUUUCGUAUUUUGAUUUUUUACAAUUUUCAAAUUACUUCAAUCUGUCUGAUCGAUAAGUAAUUAUCACACUUUUACCAUAUAAUUUUUAUUGUAUUUUUCAGUUUGUUAAUUCUAUUUAUCACUUGUUUACCUUAUGUAAUCAAGGCAGUUGUAAACAAUAAAUAGUAUUUAUAUAUUUCAUAGACAAUAUACGUAAAUCUUACCAGAUGGAUGAAAUUAAUUUGUGGCACAAACCAGUUUUUUGGCCAAUGGUUUUAAUGCCCAUUAAUUGGAUAAUUUUUAGUAUUCGACGGAAUAUAGUAGCUCUCUAUAUGAGAGUUUGAGAAUCAGAACUGUUAAAUAUAGUUUACAUCAAAAAUCAAAUUCGUGUCCUUAAAUUUAUACUUGAAAUGAAACUGGCAAAAGUAGUAGAAAUUUGUUAUUUAUACAAAUUUUCGACGUUUCAAUUUUCGUCCCGUUCUACCAAUACUUGACAAUUGAAUGACCAUAAGCAAGAGGAUGUGCCCAAUGAGGUCCUACAACAACUGGUCCGUGAAUGAGAGGUGCUGGAGCAACGAGUGGUACCGAAACUACAGCGGGUCCAGGGCUGAUAAGAAGAUGCCUCUUAUCACGGGCCUCAUUAUCCAACGGGGCACUUGUGACAAAUACCCCGCAGAAUAGCGCAGCGAAGAGAGUUAGCUGCAACGUAAAAAUAUCCCAACAGUAUAGAUUAGACACUUAUUACCCAAAGAACGAUUCCUUCUUACUAACAAAAUCAUUUUGGAAUUUAUCAGUUGUAUUUAUUCUAGUUGAAUAAAAAAAUUAAAUCAAUUCUAAACGCGAUCGCAAUACUGACGAUGGGUGUAAAAUAAAUUACCCGAUGAAAGAUUAGUCUUGACUUUGUCAUUUCUUUUUUCUAUUUGCAAUAGAGAAUGGAAAUCAUUUACAUAAGGACUAGAAGUUGAAUUUCGAUAUGCAUCCUCAUUUUUGUUUUUUUCCAGAAAAUUGUACUGUAUGAGGCAUCUAAACUUUUUUAUGACAAUACCGCGGUUUAGUCCUGAGGCUAAUUAUUGAUUAGAUGUAUGAAAACGGAUCUUACCAACAGCUUCAUGUUUCAAAUUGUAAUUGUGUAGACUACUUCGAAGAUCAAGUCGUACUGUACUCUCUUCGAUCCGUUGCCACAGUUUAUAUAUGUUACGGAAAGCCAAUAAACAGCAUCAUGGUCAAUACCUUUGUGUUAACAUAUUCGAGAUAUCUUAUUGUUUGAUUUAUAAAUUUAUACGGUAAAAAUGUAGGCGUAUAUAUUAUUCUUAGGUGCACUCAUUGACCACCUUAUAUUGAUUUGUCCUUAACUGUGAUCAAUACAAGUAUCACUGCUUCAAUUAGCAUGAAUAAUGAGUUUCACUCUUCUGUGUAACGGGAUGUCUUGAAUUUACAUUCAAUCUAUAAAGAGAUAAUCAUGAAAUAUUAUCACUACCGCAAUCAUACAUAUCUCACGAGUGCUUAAAUACGUAUUAUUGUUUUACUAAAGAGACCCUGUACAAAAACUAUGCUCGAAUUUUGGUAUGAGUUUUUUCGAAAAUUGAGAUCCUCAGUUGAUUGAACAAUAUGUACGUGAUUUACAGUGCCAAUUGUUAUGCAGUCAAAGUCGUUAUUUUUUUUUUGUUUUUAAUAUGACAUAAUACUUUAUUCAUUUCGUCAUUACAUUUUGUAAUUUCUAAAUUUUUGUCAUAAGAAAAGCUUAUGUUGCCUAUACGCAAUAGUAUCUCAUUAUUCAUAGAUCGAAUGAUCUUGAAAACUGAUAUCUAUUAGCAAUACCGUUUCCAGGACCUUGAACUAGAAAAAAAAGUAGUAAUUAUACUACGCUCACCACACCCUUUUCAUACCAUAAUCUGAUACUAGACAAGGAUGUAUCCAGGAAGAAAUAGCUUGCUGCAUCGGCUGUUUGUAUAUAUUUAAUCUUAUCGUGUAAGCAGUCACUUGUAAGACAUUCACUUUAGAUUUAUGGAUCUAUUGUGUAUCCAUUUCUAAUUCCAGAUGACUCAUUAUAAGCACAGCAUUGAAUGGCUACAUUAAUUCGCUAAUUAAAUUGAAAUUUUUUUUCCAUAAACCGUUCACAGUUGAAUCACAGGUCUUGAAAACUUUCUCAACUAAAUAUUGGCAUUAAACAUUUCUAUUUUUUUAAUGUAGGGAACAAUGUUAUGUCGUUAAGUUUUUCAAUCAUUUCAUCAAAUAUAAUAGAUUGUACCGGAAAAAUAAACUUAAAAAAGGGAAUAAAGUUGGUAAAGAAUUUGAUGGGCCCUUGUAAGACUUUCAAGUUUGGUCAUAUACAUGUAUCUUACCUGCUUAUGGUGAUGUCAAUGUAGGGUUGAAUGUUUCACACGCUUAUCGAAUUAGUUUCUUGCACAACAAAUUACCAAUUGAGUAAAUUUGCAAGAGAUCCAGUUUACAGUGAAAUAUAUCCUAUGCAAUAAUGUAACGAGCACAUUCAAAUUUUUACCAAUCUGAAAAAGUUUUACAUGCGAUCCACGUUUAUGUUAUAAUUUAUUUGUUUUCCAGUAUGAGACGUAUUAUAAUAUUAUUAUAAUUUAUGAUUAAAAGUUUAAACUGGAUCUGUUGCAGUGAUACGAAAAGUUGGAUGAUCCAUAUUUUGUAACGAAAAAUGAGCGAAUAAUUUAUUAGACUGAUUUUGUUUAUUAUACAAUGUUACAAGGCUAGCCUACGUUCCUUUACAUUCUAGCUUUGCUGUUUUUCUUACGAUUGUUGAUCAUGAUGGAAAAUGCAUCACUGCUCCAAUGUGGAGGAGAUGUUUUGAUUAGGAGUAAUACAGAAGACUAACUUGUUUAUAGGUAGAGAAUAAAAAUAUGCAUACACGUGGGACAUUUAACAAGAACCCACCCAAACUUCAGCAUCUAAUAUUCUUUAUUGUCUAAUGACAUUGAAUUGGCAUAGUAAGGCCAAAAUAAGAUUUAAUAUUUUGAAGUAAAUCCAAAUUUUGAUGCAUGAAAAGUAGUAGAAUUUGCCCAAAAUGUUCCAUAUACAUUUAUAUGUGGAAGAAAUGAUAGAUUGCACACAAUCUUGAUUUACGUGUUUACUUUUAGUACAUUUUCAUUAAUUGUCCACGUAUACAUCAGUAGGUGAUGUUGGAGAAUUCUUCAAAUUCGUAAGUUAGA
rnacentral:lncRNA from 1 species